rnacentral:rRNA from 1 species
CCUACGGGAGGCUGCAGUGAGGAAUAUUGGUCAAUGGCCGAGAGGCUGAACCAGCCAAGUCGCGUGAGGGAAGAAUGUCCUAUGGAUUGUAAACCUCUUUUGUCAGGGAGCAAAGUCACCCACGUGUGGGUGUUGGAGAGUACCUGAAGAAAAAGCAUCGGCUAACUCCGUGCCAGCAGCCGCGGUAAUACGGAGGAUGCGAGCGUUAUCCGGAUUUAGUGGGGGGAAAGGGUGCGUAGGCGGGUUAUCAAGUCAGCGGUAAAAUCGUGGGGCUCAACUCCAUCCAGCCGUUGAAACUGAUGAUCUUCAGGGGGCGAGAAGUAUGUGGAAUGCGUGGUGUAGCGGUGA